rnacentral:rRNA from 1 species
CACGUAGGGCGCGAGCGUUGUCCGGAAUUAUUGGGCGUAAAGAGCUCGUAGGCGGCCUGUUGCGUCCGCUGUGAAAGCCCCGGGGCUUAACCCCGGGUCUGCAGUGGAUACGGGCAGGCUAGAGGUAGGUAGGGGAGAAUGGAAUUCCCGGUGUAGCGGUGAAAUGCGCAGAUAUCGGGAGGAACACCGGUGGCGAAGGCGGUUCUCUGGACCAGUUCUGACGCUGAGACGCGAAAGCGUGGGUAGCAAACAGG